UAUGAGUGUAUAUAUUUACACUGUUGAUAGCAGAUUUGCAAAUUAAAUAAACAAGCUAAACCAACAAAAACAACAAUGGGAAAAAAUUAUGCUUAAAACUUUUUUUGAAGAUUAUCAAGACAAUUAUCAAGAUGUUUUCAAAGAUUAAACGUUUUUUUUAGUGGUUUUGUGCCGACUCGUACGGGGACUUGUUACUAAAGAGUAGUAAUGUUGUGAUGAUGGAGGUUUUGAGGAGGUCAAAACAGCCAAUAACUGUGUGACGUAUUUUAUGGACAACCUCUUUUAGCUUGAUUUAAAAAAACAUAAUAAAAGUUAAUCUGAGGGUCAUUUUGGACAAAAAUAUGUAGAUCCGAAAAACUCAACACACGCCUAAGAAAACAUGGACGAUGAUUUUAAAUCAAAAAACAUUUGUUGUGACAAUCAUUCAUUAUCAUUUAUUCACGAAAUUUUUUUUUUCUGUUAUGAACCUUUUUUGUAACAAACUAUUUCCGAUUUGAUAAAUAGCUUUGAAACCAU